rnacentral:rRNA from 1 species
GUAGUCCUGGCCGUAAACGAUGGAUGCUGGGUGUUGGAGGACUUAACCCCUCCUGUGCCGAAGCUAACGCGUUAAGCAUCCCGCCUGGGAAGUACGAUCGCAAGAUUAAAACUCAAAGGAAUUGACGGGGACCCGCACAAGCAGCGGAGCGUGUGGUUUAAUUCGAUGCUACACGAAGAACCUUACCCAGGUUUGACAUACUAGUAGUAGUGAACCGAAAGGGGAACGACUCGCAAGAGAGCUAGUACAGGUGUUGCAUGGCUGUCGUCAGCUCGUGUCGUGAGAUGUUCGUUUAAGUACGCUAACGAGCGCAACCCUUAUUGCCAGUUACAAGUGUCUGGCGAGACUGCCGGCCACAAGCCGGAGGAAGGCGAGGAUGACGUCAAGUCAGCAUGGCCUUUAUAUCUGGGGCUACACACACGCUACAAUGGGUGGAUACAAUGGGUCGCCAAACCGUGAGGUGGAGCCAAUCCCACAAAGCCAUCCUCAGUUCAGAUUGCAGGCUGCAACCCGCCUGCAUGAAGUCGGAGUUGCUAGUAAAUGCGCGUCAGCUAUAGCGCAUUGAAUACGUUCCCGGGUCUUGUACACACCGCCCGUCACGUCAUGGGAGUUGGUAACACCUGAAGCCGGCAGCGCAACCGCAAGGAACGCACCGUCAAAGGUGGGGCUGAUGACUGGGACGAAGUCGUAACAAGGUAGCUGUACGGGAACGUGCGGCUGGAUCACCUCC